rnacentral:rRNA from 1 species
CCUACGGGAGGCAGCAGUAGGGAAUCCUCCACAAUGGGCGAAAGCCUGAUGGAGCAACGCCGCGUGGGUGAAGAAGGUCUUCGGAUCGUAAAACCCUGUUGUUAGAGAAGAAAGUGCGUGAGAGUAACUGUUCACGUUUCGACGGUAUCUAACCAGAAAGCCACGGCUAACUACGUGCCAGCAGCCGCGGUAAUACGUAGGUGGCAAGCGUUAUCCGGAUUUUUUGGGCGUAAAGGGAACGCAGGCGGUCUUUUAAGUCUGAUGUGAAAGCCUUCGGCUUAACCGGAGUAGUGCAUUGGAAACUGGGAGACUUGAGUGCAGAAGAGGAGAGUGGAACUCCAUGUGUAGCGGUGAAAUGCGUAGAUAUAUGGAAGAACACCAGUGGCGAAAGCGGCUCUCUGGUCUGUAACUGACGCUGAGGUUCGAAAGCGUGGGUAGCAAACAGGAUUAGAUACCCCAGUAGUC